rnacentral:lncRNA from 1 species
GCAGGGCGUGACCAUCCUGGAGCUGCAUGGAGGUGGUGGUCGCAUCACGUCGAGAAUGUUCCUUACCUUGGCAUCAGGACUCCAGGAGAGGCCGCCCCGGAAUGUUCCACCCUGGCUCGAUGCCUGCCGGGCCGCGUGGCGGGCACAACGGUGCGGUUCACACCCCUGUGCCCUGUGGGUCCAGGUCCCACAGAAGCCCCUGGGGACUGGUGGCCAUGGAGGGACGUCACCCAGGCCUGAAUUGUGCUUUGGAGCUGAAAAGUCGCUGUCUCACAAGACCCAAGGCGGUAGGGUGCAGCAGCAGCCUGCCUGGCUAGAGAGGGAAGUCGGCCAUGAAUGAAUGAACGGGUUUGCUGCAGAGUCUGUGAGGCUUCAGGACAUUUUCUGGGUGAGGAGCCGGCCGGGGAGCGCGCCCACCUCUGCGGCAGCUCCGAUUGGCGCGUUUUCUCCAGCCUCCUGAGCAGCCUUGCCAAGUGUCAUAAAAAUACAUCAGUGCUCCGGCCGCCCAGAGUCGUACUUACUGCCAG